rnacentral:rRNA from 1 species
UGGCGAACGGGUGAGUAACACGUGAGUAACCUGCCCUUGACUUUGGGAUAACUUCAGGAAACUGGGGCUAAUACCGGAUAGGAGCUCCUGCUGCAUGGUGGGGGUUGGAAAGUUUCGGCGGUUGGGGAUGGACUCGCGGCUUAUCAGCUUGUUGGUGGGGUAGUGGCUUACCAAGGCUUUGACGGGUAGCCGGCCUGAGAGGGUGACUGGCCACAUUGGGACUGAGAUACGGCCCAG